GAACUGACCUCCAACCAAAACGUAAGCUAGACUGUUACAAGAGUGCAUGAAUUACCAACAGGAAACUGGCACCCGAGUUAGCAAUGAAAAGCUUCAUCUUCUGAUCUCUGUCCUGGGACGACAACAGAAUGUACCUUGAAGGAAGGUCUCAGGAUAGAGCUCAUUCCGCUGAAUUGCAAAGCUGCAGACU